rnacentral:rRNA from 1 species
CCUACGGGUGACAGCAGUGAGGAAUAUUGGUCAAUGGGCGCGAGCCUGAACCAGCCAAGUCGCGUGAGGGAAGACGGCCCUACGGGUUGUAAACCUCUUUUGCCGGGGAGCAACGGGCGACACGUGUGGCGCCACUGAGAGUACCCGGAGAAAAAGCAUCGGCUAACUCCGUGCCAGCAGACGCGGUAAUACGGAGGAUGCGAGCGGUAUCCGGAUGUAGUGGGUUGAAAGGGUGCGUAGGCGGAGCGUUAAGUCAGUGGUAAAAUUGAGGGGCUCAACCCCUUCCCGCCAUUGAAACUGGCGCUGUUGAGUGGAAGAGAAGUAUGCGGAAGGCGUGGGGUAGCGGUGAAAGGCA